GAUGAACGCUGGCGGCGUGCCUAAUACAUGCAAGUCGAGCGAACGGACGAGAAGCUUGCUUCUCUGAUGUUAGCGGCGGACGGGUGAGUAACACGUGGAUAACCUACCUAUAAGACUGGGAUAACUUCGGGAAACCGGAGCUAAUACCGGAUAAUAUUUUGAACCGCAUGGUUCAAAAGUGAAAGACGGUCUUGCUGUCACUUAUAGAUGGAUCCGCGCUGCAUUAGCUAGUUGGUAAGGUAACGGCUUACCAAGGCAACGAUGCAUAGCCGACCUGAGAGGGUGAUCGGCCACACUGGAACUGAGACACGGUCCAGACUCCUACGGGAGGCAGCAGUAGGGAAUCUUCCGCAAUGGGCGAAAGCCUGGCGGAGCAACGCCGCGUGAGUGAUGAAGGUCUUCGGAUCGUAAAACUCUGUUAUUAGGGAAGAACAUAUGUGUAAGUAACUGUGCACAUCUUGACGGUACCUAAUCAGAAAGCCACGGCUAACUACGUGCCAGCAGCCGCGGUAAUACGUAGGUGGCAAGCGUUAUCCGGAAUUAUUGGGCGUAAAGCGCGCGUAGGCGGUUUUUUAAGUCUGAUGUGAAAGCCCACGGCUCAACCGUGGAGGGUCAUUGGAAACUGGAAAACUUGAGUGCAGAAGAGGAAAGUGGAAUUCCAUGUGUAGCGGUGAAAUGCGCAGAGAUAUGGAGGAACACCAGUGGCGAAGGCGACUUUCUGGUCUGUAACUGACGCUGAUGUGCGAAAGCGUGGGGAUCAAACAGGAUUAGAUACCCUGGUAGUCCACGCCGUAAACGAUGAGUGCUAAGUGUUAGGGGGUUUCCGCCCCUUAGUGCUGCAGCUAACGCAUUAAGCACUCCGCCUGGGGAGUACGACCGCAAGGUUGAAACUCAAAGGAAUUGACGGGGACCCGCACAAGCGGUGGAGCAUGUGGUUUAAUUCGAAGCAACGCGAAGAACCUUACCAAAUCUUGACAUCCUUUGACAACUCUAGAGAUAGAGCCUUCCUCUUCGGGGGACAAAGUGACAGGUGGUGCAUGGUUGUCGUCAGCUCGUGUCGUGAGAUGUUGGGUUAAGUCCCGCAACGAGCGCAACCCUUAAGCUUAGUUGCCAUCAUUAAGUUGGGCACUCUAAGUUGACUGCCGGUGACAAACCGGAGGAAGGUGGGGAUGACGUCAAAUCAUCAUGCCCCUUAUGAUUUGGGCUACACACGUGCUACAAUGGACAAUACAAAGGGCAGCGAAACCGCGAGGUCAAGCAAAUCCCAUAAAGUUGUUCUCAGUUCGGAUUGUAGUCUGCAACUCGACUACAUGAAGCUGGAAUCGCUAGUAAUCGUAGAUCAGCAUGCUACGGUGAAUACGUUCCCGGGUCU
rnacentral:rRNA from 1 species